UGAGCUGAACAGUAAGAAAUUAGGAGUCAGAAUAAGACAUCAGAUGAAGAAAUGUGAAAUAGAAGGUAUAAGAAUAAAACACAGAUACACCAGAAUAAUAGAGGGAAGUGAACGUUCAAAACACUAACCGUCCGAUACUGAGCGCUGA